AAGGGAUAUUGCGACAAUGGGCGAAAGCCUGACGCAGCAACGCCGCGUGGAGGAUGACGGCCUUCGGGUUGUAAACUCCUUUACCGGGGAAGAGGAAGGACGGUACCCGGUGAAGAAGUCUCGGCUAACUACGUGCCAGCAGCCGCGGUAAAACGUAGGAGGCAAGCGUUAUCCGGAUUCACUGGGCGUAAAGCGCGUGCAGGCGGCUCGGUAAGUUGGGCGUGAAAUCUCCUGGCUUAACUAGGAGAGGCCGUCCAAUACUACCGGGCUAGAGAGCAGUAGAGGAAGAUGGAAUUCCCGGUGUAGUGGUGAAAUGCGUAGAUAUCGGGAGGAACACCAGUGGCGAAGGCGAUCUUCUGGACUGUUUCUGACGCUCAGACGCGAAAGCUAGGGUAGUAAACGGGAUUAGAGACCCCGGUAAUCCUAGCCGUAAACGAUGUGAACUUGGCGUCGGUAGCUUAAACACUAUCGGUGCCGCAGCAAACGCGAUAAGUUCACCGCCUGGGGACUACGAUUGCAAGAUUA
rnacentral:rRNA from 1 species